UACAGAGGUCUCAAGCGUUGUUCGGAUUCAUUGGGCGUAAAGGGCGCGUAGGCUGCGGGGCAAGUCGGGUGUGAAAUCUCAGAGCUCAACUCUGAAACUGCACUCGAUACUGCUUUGCUCGAGGACUGGAGAGGAGAUUGGAAUUCACGGUGUAGCAGUGAAAAUGCGUAGAUAUCGUGAGGAAGACCAGUGGCGAAGGCGGAUCUCUGGACAGUUCCUGACGCUGAGGCGCGAAGGCCAGGGGGAGGCAAACGGG
rnacentral:rRNA from 1 species